UUUCUGUUUCCUAACCCUAGGGGGCAGCACCUCUUCUGGGGCAGUACCAACGGAGAAACUGGGCCGGAGAGCCACAGCCCCGCACCUGAGGUGGGGUGCAGCAGCAGGCGGGGGGAGGACGAAGCAGACGAGGUCGGCCUCCUACCCCUCCUCCGACCUGACUGGCCUGGGGUCCCGCCGUGCCUCAGCGGAGGGGGCCCCCGGGCCCCCGGAUCCGGCCCCGGUCUGCGCGCCCGGGACAGGAGGGAAGGAGCAGAGGCUGAAGGAGCUGCACCUGUAUACAUUGUCUGCCUCCUCUCUCUUCUACCAGCACCUGAGGAGCACCUGGGACAGCUACGUCAUAAAGUCCACUCU